UAGACACCUGAUGCUGUGUGAUUAUUGUACAUAACACAACGAUGCAAUGUCACCAAAAUCUCACGUUUCUUACCUAAUGUAGACACCUGGUGCUGUGUGAUUAUUGUCCAUAACACAACGAUGCAAUGUCACCAAAAUCUCACGUUUCUUACCUAAUGUAGACACCUGGUGCUGUGUGAUUAUUGUCCAUAACACAACGAUGCAAUAUCACCAAAAUCUCACGUUUCUUACCUAAUGUAGACACCUGGAGCUGUGUGAUUAUUGUCCAUAACACAACGAUGGGGGUUGGUCAGUUCGGGGGUGGAGUGUGGGGAGAGCAGAAUGAUAGUGGGUGGGGGAUACUGAUGGGGUUUCUUUUAGAUACGCACAUUCUGCUUUGGGAUCUUUUUUCACAUUGCAAAAUACCGAGUGGCACCAUUCAUACCGAGUUACACUGUUGCUAGCACUUUACGUUUGUCACCCAAUGUAGAUGAAGAUACUGUUCUAGUUUUUAGUCUGAUGUUGAAAAUGUAAGAAAGUCAGCUGACUUAAAUAAUAAUCAAUGUAGAAUACCAUCAUAGAAUAAUUUUUGGAAUAAAAUAUAUUAAAAUUC